rnacentral:rRNA from 1 species
AACAAAAACAUGUCUUUUUGUAUAUUAAUUUAAAGUUUGACCUGCCCAAUGAAAUUUUAAUGGCCGCAGUAAUUUGACUGUGCAAAGGUAGCAUAAUCAUUAGUUUUUUAAUUAAAAGCUUGUAUGAAUGGUUGGACGAAAUAAAAUCUGUCUUUAUUUAAAUUAAAAUAGAAUUUAACUUUUAAGUUAAAAGGCUUAAAUAUUUAUAAAAGACGAGAAGACCCUAUAGAUCUUUAUAUUAAUUUAAAAUAAAUUAUUUAGGAUUUAUUAAUUUUUAUUUUAUUUUAUUAUUUUAUUGGGGUAAUAGGAAGAUUAAAUUAAUUCUUUUUUUAUUUUGAUAUUGAUUUAUAAAUUUUUGAUCCUUUAAUAAAGAUUAAAAGAUUAAGUUACCUUAGGGAUAACAGCGUAAUUUUUUUAAAGAGUUCAUAUCGAUAAAAAAGUUUGCGACCUCGAUGUUG